UCCGCCAUGUCCAGAUCUCAAAAGCCUCCAGCCUUUCUCUGUCUUUUUUCCUCAUAGUCCAUCAUUCAGUGCCAUAUAAGAACACUGCAUACAAGACAUUUUAUGAGUCUCUUUCUGAGUUCUCUGUCCAGACCGCUGCAGAAGAUUCUCCUUUUCUUAUAAAAUGCCUCUUUUGCCAUUGCUGUCCUUGUUUUAAUUUCUGUGGUGCACUUCCAGUCGGUGUCUAUCCUGCUUCCAAGAUACUUAAAAUUUUGCACCUGUUCUAGUGUUUCUCCAUUCAGCACAAUUUUUAUUUCCUUAUUUCCUCCUAUUGCCAAUACUUUUGUUUUAUUUGUGUUAAUUUUCAUUCCAUAUUUUUUUCCGUUAGUUGCAAUGGUGUCCACCAAAUCCUGUAAUUCUUUUUCCCCUGUGGCUAGAAGGACCAUGUCAUCAGCAAAUCUCAAGCACCCUACUCUUCUUACUCCAAUUUCUACUCCUUUGUCAUCUAAUGAGCAAUGGUCAAUCAUAUUUUCCAAGUACAGGUUGAAAAGAGUAGGUGAUAAACAGCAUCCUUGUCUUACUCCUUUCCCUAGUCUGAUCCAGUUUGUACUUUCUCCUCUCACUUUAACUGAAACUUUUUGAUUGAGGUAUAAUGAGUUUAUAAGUCUUCUGGUUUUCCAGUCCAAUCUCUCUCCCUCAUAAUAGUCGCCAGCUUGUCCCAAACCACAUUGUCAAAUGCCUUUUCUAAAUCGAUGAAGCACAUAUAUAGGUCUCUUCCUUUUUCAAUAAACCUUUCUCCCAAGAUUUGUAGGAGCCCUAUUGCAUCUCUGGUGCCCGUAUUCCUUCUAAAGCCAAACUGCUCCUCACCGAGAUUCUCCUCUAUUACUUUUUCAAGUCUUUUAUUAAUUAUUCUUAACAUCACUCUGGAUGCAUGUGAAAUGAGGCUGAUUGUCCUGUGCUCGCUGCAUUUCUUGGUUCCUUGUUUGUGUCAAAAAGUCCUCAGGCCAUUCACCACUGUCAUAUAUUUUAUUAUAUAACCUCAAUAUUUCUCUUAUUCCAUUGUGGUUCAAGCAUUUUAGUAUUUCUCCCGGUAUUGUAUCUGUACCUACUGCUUUGCCAUUUUUCAUUGCAGCAAUGGCAGACUUUACUUCUUCCAUUAUGAUGGUCGGUCCUUUCUCUUCAUCACUUACACUGUUGUGUGAUUCAAGUUCCAGAGUUUCUGGUUUGCUAUUUGUGUCAUAUAGCUCUUUUAUAUAUUCUUCCCAUCUCUGGAGGACAUCGUCACGAUCUUUGUACACAACCUCUUCGUCUUUACUCAAAAUUUCCAUAGUAGCACUUCCUGCUCUGUUUUGUUCCCAUGUCAUAGUCUUUACUCUGUUGUAUAGUAAGUCGUAUCUUCCCUUCCUGUCCAGUUCUUCAAUUUCAUCACAUUCAUCUUUUAGCCAUUUUUUCCUAGCCUGCUCUGUUUCUCUUCGCAGUUCGUUAUUUAAUCUUCAGUAUAUCUUUCUUGCAUCUUCAUUGUUCUUGUUUUUCAAUUUUCUUCUCUCCAGGAAGUUCUGAAUUGUCCGUAAACCACCCAGAUGCAUAGAAAAGGUGGUAUCAGAUAUUUUGUAUGAGUCUAGGGGGAGGCUGUACUGUUAUAAUGUUCACUCGCUGUAGGAGGCUAUAUAUUUGUUUUGACACUCCAAGUUGGUGGUAUCAUGGACAUCUUGGAGUAAGAGGGCUGUUGACAGUUUCAAUGGGGACCCAAAACAAAUGAAUCACUUUUAUGUUCAAAAAUAACUUUGAUGUAUGGCCUAAGGGUCAGAUAUUAUGUAUCAUUAUCAUCAUCAGUUAUCUUCUAUAUUAGCAGGUCCUAUGCCUCUCCAUUUUCUGCGAUCCAUUGCUUCCUUCUUAAGGCUGCUGUAUGUUGUACCAUCCACAAAUAAAGUCAUAAGGAGACUUAUAAUAACUUAUUCACCCACCCGCUGGCACUGUGAGAAUAUUCUAAGUCCGUAUCAAGGUCACGGACUUAAGCGAGUGAUCGCCGCGUAGCGGCUGUUUCGCACUGCUGCUGCUGCACAGGCAACAGCAUUGAACGCUGCCACGUUGCCCAUACAUUGUCUGCGUUCCAUAAUUACAACAAUUCACUAUAUAAUAUGUCUCCUAACAGCCAUUGACAACGUGAAUUGCAAAAAUGUAAUACACUGCUGCUGCUGCACAGGCUACUGCAUUAACGCAGCAAUGUCCUCCAAUCAAUCUAAUUCGUCCUAAUAUCCUUUACCUCCAAUCAAUCUAAUUCGUCCUAAUAUCAUUUACCUGCAUAAAUAUACUGAAUUAUAUGCAAAGUGAUCUGUAGCGUAGCUGAGAACCGGACAAGGGUACAUCUAGGAUCUGUAGGCAUAGAGUAUGUAACAGCAUUAUUUAUUUAGAAUAUCUGAUCAAUAUUUCUCUUAUUCCAUUGUGGUUCAAACAUUUUAGUAUUUCUCCCGGUAUUGUAUCUGUACCUACUGCUUUGCCAUUUUUCAUUGCAGCAAUGGCAGACUUUACUUCUUCCAUUAUGAUGGUCGGUCCUUUCUCUUCAUCACUUACACUGUUGUGUGAUUCAAGUUCCAGAGUUUCUGGUUUGCUAUUUGUGUCAUAUAGCUCUUUUAUAUAUUCUUCCCAUCUCUGGAGGACAUCGUCACGAUCUUUGUACACUACCUCUUCGUCUUUACUCAAAAUUUCCAUAGUAGCACUUCCUGCUCUGUUUUGUUCCCAUGUCAUAGUCUUUACUCUGUUGUAUAGUAAGUCGUAUCUUCCCUUCCUGUCCAGUUCUUCAAUUUCAUCACAUUCCUCUUUUAGACAUUUUUUCCUAGCCUGCUCUGUUUCUCUUCGCAGUUCGUUAUUUAACCUUCAAUAUAUCUUUCUUGCAUCUUCAUUGUUCUUGUUUUUCAAUUUUCUUCUCUCCUCCAUCUUGGAAAUCAUUUCUUGUGUGACCCAUGGUUUUUUUGACCUUUUCCCUUUUACAUAUCCUAUAUUUUGCUGUCCUGCUUUAAUGAUUCCUUCUUUCAGCAUAUUCCAGUACUCGUUGGCAUUAUCAGGUGCUUCUUUGUCUCGUAAUGUGUUUAGAAAGUCCCGAGACAGCAUUUCUGUAAUUGGUCUUUGUUGGACCUUAUCUUCUCUAGAUCCCACUUCUUCACCAUUGUCGCCUUUUUCAGUAUUUUCAUUCUUAUUUCUAUUUCUGCCAUAAGUAAGUUGUGGUCACUAUUAAUAUCUGCACCUGGUAAUGCGUGCAGCUUCUUGAUUCCAUUCCUGUAUCUUUCUUCUACCAGUAUAAAAUCGAUUUGGUUUCUGUAUUUAUCCCCUGGUGAUUUCCAAGUGUAGAGCCCCCUCUUAUGGUUCUUGUACCAUGUGUUUGCCGCUAUCAGCUGCCUUUCCCUGCAGAAGUCAAUUAACCAUUCAUCUCUGUCAUUUCUCUUUUCAAGACCAUGACUGCCUACUAUGUUUCCCACUUUCCCUUCUCCCACAAUGGCGUUCCAGUCUCCCAUUACUAUUUUGCAGCAUUUUUUAUUUUCGUCCAUUAUUCUCUCUAUUACAUUAUACGUUUCCUCUACAAUUUGGUCAUCAUGUUCUGAAGUUGGCAUAUACACCUGGACAGUCAGUAAAUCUUUUUGUGCUCCUUUCAGCCUUACACCAAUAACCCGGUCAUUUGCAUAGUCUACAUAUUCCACACAUUUAGCCAAUUCCUUUGUCAUAAUCAUUCCUACUCCAUUAAUUCCUUUUACUUCUCCUCCUGAGUAAUAGAAUACAUAUUCAUCUGACUGCAACUCUCCAUGUCUAUUCCAUCUUACCUCAGCAACUCCUAUGAGGUCCAUAUGACUCUUUUCCAUCUCUCUUUUAAGGUUUUCUAGUUUUCCUGCUUGUAGCAGAGUUCUGACAUUCCAGGUACCAAUUCUCGUUUUGAUUUUUUGCCUCCUUUCAAGUUGUCCCCCCCCGGAGAUCCGAAUGGGGGACUAUUUUACCUCCAAACACUGAUUUAACAUGAGAGGAUGCCAUUUUUUGUGCAUAAAAUGGAGACUGCAUUAUGCAGGGAAGACAAUCUGCGGUGGUAUUCCGUUGCCUUCCACAGUUCUGGAGGCCGCCCCUAACAUGGGAUACAGACGCCUUUUGCAGCCACCCGCUCCGGGUCAGACGCUGCAUGAGAAGUAUAGGUUGGAAAAUGAAAGACCCCUAGCCCUCGAAACCUAAUAGCGUCAGGGUCGGAAAAGAACAAGAGCUGGCCGAGGGUGGCCAGAUAGGAAAGAUAAAAGUGAGGAGCCUGGCAUAAGUAAGUGGAAGCACUGCCAGGACUCAGCUCGGGGCCCCGUGGUCGCCAGCCACGUAUCGCUAGGUGUGACUCCCUGAGGGGGAGUAUGUAUCAGAAAGUGUUAAUGUAUGAUUAAACUAUUUUUAAAUUACAAUCAUUUGGCUCUGUCAUUGUGACACUUGCAGACUUUAAAUACAGGGAAGUGCAAAUGAGAAUUCAGAGUUUUUUAGCAGCUUGAAGUAUUCAUUGUGAUCUAACAUUUCAGAUCACUGAACAAGAAUGAAAGUCCAGAAGAAGGGAAGUUCAUACAUGGUGGUGGGAUGCUGUAGCUGGGCUGCCAGAACAAUAUCUAAAGGUGACUAUUCAUCAGCAAGAUGUAUAACAGAUGGUGGACCUGUGAAUCCUGAAGGGCAGACAGAGCAACUCAACAAGUUUGUGGUGUGCAAAUUUGAUAUGCUAAGUGGCCAUAGUGGAGCUGCAAUCAAUUGUUUUAGCAAAAUACAGGAUAUGAAGGAGCAUGCACAAGUGGUCUGGUGGUAUGCACAGACAAAAUUGGCAACCCAAGUGCAAAGAGACUUUCAUCAAGUUUACAACAAAGCACCCCUGUCAUUCAAGACUAUAAAGAAAUGGUGUGAUCAGUUUUAGGCUACUGGGAGUGUUGCAAAAGGGCAUGGUGGUGGUAAGCCUGGGAUCAGCAAACAUCAUGUGGAACAAGUGCAGUGGUCAUUCGAACAAAGUCCACAGAAGUCAGUGCGAGAGGCAGCAUGAGAACUUCAUAUGAAACGUUCAACAGUGCACAAAGUGCUUCAUCAGCAAUUACGUUUGUACACAUAUAAAGUGCAGGUUGUGCAAGAAACCAAGCCUGAUGAUUGACCAAAGUGAGGAGAAUUUGCAUGUGUCAUGUUAGAUCACAUUGCUUUGGACGAGACAUUUUUAUCACAGGUGAUGUUUUCUGACGAGGCAACCUUUCAAGUGUCAGGGACUGUCAAUCACCACAAUGUGCACAUCUGGAUCAAAAAUCCACAUGCACCUUGGGAACACGUGCGCGACAGUCCGAAAGUUAAUGUGUGGUGUGGUUUGAUGAUAAAUCGCAUUGUUGGGCCGUUUUUCUUUCAGGAGCUGACUGUGGAUGGAGCCAUCUACCUGGACUUGUUGGAGCAAUUUGCCAUGCCACAGAUAACAGACCUGCAGCCAAAUUUGAUGUUUCAACAGGAUGGUGCACCACCCAAUUGGAGCCUUGAUGUCCAAAAAUUUUUACAUGACAUGUUCCUGCAACGAUGGAUUGGUCGUGGAGGUCCAAUUCCUUGGCCGCCACGUUUGCCCGACAUAACCCCCCUCGAUUUUUUCUUGUGUGGUUAUGUGAAAGACUAGGUAUACGCUACACCAGUAAAGGACAUGCAAGGCUUUAAACAGCGUAUUAGAAUUGUCAUCAACUCUGUCACAGAACGGAUGCUCUACAACACAUGACACAAAAUCGAUUAUAGACUUGAUAUUCUUCGCGCUACCCAUAGCACCCAUGUUCAAGUGCACUGAACCGUCAACCUGCGUAUGAAAACUUGAUGAGCUGCUGUAUGAUUUCCCUGUAUUUGUUUGUCAAUAAAUUGUGUUUCCUCUCAGA